rnacentral:rRNA from 1 species
UACGUAGGUGGCGAGCGUUCUCCGGAAUUACUGGGCGUAAAGGGCGUGUAGGCGGCCUUUUAAGUCAGGCGUGAAAGCCCGUGGCUUAACCACGGGAUUGCGUUUGAAACUGGAGGGCUUGAGGAUCGGAGAGGGCAGUGGAAUUCCCAGUGUAGCGGUGAAAUGCGUAGAUAUUGGGAGGAACACCAGUGGCGAAGGCGACUGCCUGGAAGACACCUGACGCUGAGGCGCGAAAGCUAGGGGAGCAAACGGG